rnacentral:rRNA from 1 species
AGAUUGAACGCUGGCGGCAUGCCUUGCACAUGCAAGUCGAACGGUAGAGUAGCAAUACUUGAGAGUGGCGAACGGGUGAGUAAUAUAUCGGAACGCGCCCAGUCGUGGGGGAUAACGUAGAGAAAUUUACGCUAAUACCGCAUACGAUCUAAGGAUGAAAGCGGGGGACUCGGCAAGAGCCUCGCGCGAUUGGAGCGGCUGAUAUCAGUAUUAGGUUGUGGUGAGGUAAAAGCUCACCAAGCCGACGAUCUGUAGCUGGUUUGAGAGAACGACCAGCCACACUGGACUGAGACACGGCCCAGACUCCGUACGGGAGGCGAGCAGGUAGGGUAAUUUUGGACAAGUUGGGACGAAAGCCCUAGACUCCCGAGCAAUCGCCGCGUG